rnacentral:rRNA from 1 species
GUGAACGCUGGCGGUAGGCCUAACACAUGCAAGUCGAACGGCAGCACAGUAAGAGCUUGCUCUUACGGGUGGCGAGUGGCGGACGGGUGAGGAAUACAUCGGAAUCUACUUUUUCGUGGGGGAUAACGUAGGGAAACUUACGCUAAUACCGCAUACGACCUACGGGUGAAAGCAGGGGAUCUUCGGACCUUGCGCGAUUGAAUGAGCCGAUGUCGGAUUAGCUAGUUGGCGGGGUAAAGGCCCACCAAGGCGACGAUCCGUAGCUGGUCUGAGAGGAUGAUCAGCCACACUGGAACUGAGACACGGUCAAGAAUCCUACGGGAGGCAGCAGUGGGGAAUAUUGGACAAUGGGCGCAAGCCUGAUCCAGCCAUCCCGCGUGGGUGAAGAAGGCCUUCGGGUUGUAAAGCCCUUUUGUUGGGAAAGAAAAGCAGCAGGUUAAUACCCCGCUGUUCUGACGGUACCCAAAGAAUAAGCACCGGCUAACUUCGUG